UUGCACCUCACUAAACAGAGCUCGGGCAACUCUUAACUGGGGCACAGGGAAACUGGGCUGCCUGCACAAGAGGACUCCCACUACCAACAGAACCAAGACCAGGCUCUAAUCUAGGUUGGGUUGCCACAAGGAUUCAAAUUCACUCAGCAUUAAAGCAGAGGAAUUCUAGAACCUCUGAACUAAACAGUUUGUUUCUCCUCCCCCCAGACAAGAACUGUCAGACCUUUCCUGCUUAACAGGGAGACAUCUGCUGAUAACAGAUUAUUCAAUGUCACUGCAUGGCUGAUAAGAACUACAGCAUCCCUUUGGGAGAUGGGAGCUCAGAGGGAGGAGCCAAGCAUUCCUACCCAGGUGUAAUCUGGAGAUUCUGGAACACCAGCACAGCUUCUCCACUGGAUUUCCCAGAGGAGCAGCAGCUGCCUCUUCCACUGCAUCUUCAGAGGAAGACUGCACCUUUCUACAGGACCCCUGCUUCAGCAGAACCACCCCUGGCACUGCAGGAGGGCUGCAGCCACAAUUCCAAUGGGACUGCUGCCAGCACCCUGACCCACAGGGUGUCAGGUUGUGUUCUGAUUCUGUCAGUGUUGUUUUGGUUUACUGCAUUGUUUAUUUUAUCUUUUUAUUUUCUCCCCUAAUAAAGAACUGUUAUUCCUGCUCCCA